rnacentral:rRNA from 1 species
GUGGGGAAUAUUGCACAAUGGGCGCAAGCCUGAUGCAGCGACGCCGCGUGAGGGAUGACGGCCUUCGGGUUGUAAACCUCUUUCAGCACCGGCGAAGCGGCUGGGUUUUCCCGGUCGUGACGGUAGGUGCAGAAGAAGCGCCGGCCAACUACGUGCCAGCAGCCGCGGUAAGACGUAGGGCGCGAGCGUUGUCCGGAUUUAUUGGGCGUAAAGAGCUCGUAGGCGGCUUGUCGCGUCGACUGUGAAAACCCGCGGCUCAACUGUGGGCUUGCAGUCGAUACGGGCAGGCUGGAGUUCGGUAGGGGAGACUGGAAUUCCUGGUGUAGCGGUGAAAUGCGCAGAUAUCAGGAGGAACACCGGUGGCGAAGGCGGGUCUCUGGGCCGAUACUGACGCUGAGGAGCGAAAGCGUGGGGAGCGAACAGGAUUAGAUACCCUAGUAGUCC